rnacentral:sRNA from 1 species
CAAACAGAGCGCAGGAGGCCGUCAUGUUUCUCGAUAAUGUGGUUAUCGCCGGAGUACUUACUGUCGGCCUCAUGGUUUUGUUUUUCGCCGGUCUGGGCAUUUUUAUCUGGAAAGACUCGCAGAAGCGCAAAUAGCGCCGGGUCUUUCCAUGGCAUGAGCACGCAAGGCAUUUUGGGCGACUUCGGUCGCCUAUUUUUUU